GGGGAAAUUACAUGUUUACCACUUUUAUGCUACCACUUUUCAUUUUUACCAUCAUUAAUGAGACAUUUUCAAAAAUAUCUUCUUCAUUAAGUGACAAAAGACUCUUAUGUCCUUGUUAUUUAUAUAUAUAAUAAAUUAUUAUUUAAAUAAAAAAAAAUAAAAAAAAAAUAUAAAAAAUAAAAAAUAAAAAUAAAAAAUAAAAAAAUUAAUUUUUUUUUUAUUUUUCGAAAUAUACUUUUUCAAAUUCGAUUUUUUUUAUAAAACUUUUUUUCAAAUUUUUUUUUUCGAAUUUUUUUUUUAAUUUUUUUCAAAUUUCUUUUUGAAAAACGAAAAUUAUGUUUGAAACUAUAUUUUUUUUAUAUUUUUUAAGUAUUUAUAUAUUUAUUAGAAUCAUAAAUUUCACUUUCCAAAAACCCUACCCCACUCCUCAACUCUAAACCCUAAGUCUAGAUUAGUUAACCCUAAGGGUAUA
rnacentral:lncRNA from 1 species